UUAAUUGAAACCAAAAAAGAGGUAUAUUACUGUUAAUAAUAUCAUUGAACCAAAUUCCAAUUAAA
rnacentral:tRNA from 1 species